AGGGAUAGACCGGAGAAAUACACAAUUUCUGGGCACUAAACAACUACAAGCACAGAGCGCUUCGAGAAGUAGUUGUUUCUUGACGAGAGAAUAUGUAUAUC
rfam:Nanay virus strain PRD316/PER/09, complete genome